rnacentral:tRNA from 1 species
GCUGGUGUAGCUCAGUUGGCAGAGCGGCUGAUUUGUAAUCAGCAGGUCGGGGGUUCAAACCCCUUCGCCAGCUCCA